rnacentral:lncRNA from 1 species
GUGGGGGAUCUAGCCAGCCUGAUAACCAAAUUCAAGAAGUAACUCCGACUGUGGAAAAGAAAGAAAUUGCUGCAAUUCAGCCACCCGAAGACCGUGACAGCAAGAUACAAGCUGCUCGGGAAAGAUUUCUAGCUCGGAAAGGUCAGAAGUAGCAUAAUAAUGGUUGUUCGACAGAUUAAUCGGUUAUGCGCAUGGGCUGUCCUUGCCACAAAAUUGUUUGCUGCUCAGCUGGAAGUAGAGUGUAACCCUUUCUUAAGAUGCAUGAUGGGAGGGUGUAAUUCUCCCACUUGAUGCAGAAAUCUUGCCCAUCUGAUUCAUGAGUGGCACCAAAAGGUUUUUAAGAAUGGUCAGAUGAAUUAUAUAUACCUUUCUCGGGCUUUGAGUAAGAUCAAGUGUAGUGACUGUUCUUAUCAGUUUAAUAUCUGAUAUGUGAGUCAUCGGUCCACAAGAUAUUAACAAGAAUGGUCAGAUGAAUUAUAUAUACCUUUCUCGGGCUUUGAGUAAGAUCAAGUGUAGUGACUGUUCUUAUCAGUUUAAUAUCUGAUAUGUGAGUCAUCGGUCCACAAGAUAUUAACAAGAAUGGUCAGAUGAAUUAUAUAUACCUUUCUCGGGCUUUGAGUAAGAUCAAGUGUAGUGACUGUUCUUAUCAGUUUAAUAUCUGAUAUGUGAGUCAUCGGUCCACAAGAUAUUAACAAGAAUGGUCAGAUGAAUUAUAUAUACCUUUCUCGGGCUUUGAGUAAGAUCAAGUGUAGUGACUGUUCUUAUCAGUUUAAUAUCUGAUAUGUGAGUCAUCGGUCCACAAGAUAUUAACAAGAAUGGUCAGAUGAAUGUUUGAUCUCAACUUCUAAGGGAAGAGGGAACAACAGUUGAAUGUUUUCAAAGUGGAAGGGCUCUCUAAGAAACAAGCAAGUUAUAAUUACCUGUGUUGUGGUUGAGUGUGUCAUUGAUGAACACAUACAUGAUGAAAGACUCCUCAUCAACCAUCAAGAAUGGCAAAGUUCACUAUGCCCAUGACAGUUGGGCAUUUUCGAAAUUUUAAUUUAACCAAUAAAUUUAGAAACUCCGUUCUAUUUCUUAUGACUAAGGAAUUUUCAAGGGUCGGUUGGCGCACGGGUUGAGAUGUUGUAUAAUGAGCUUGUCUUUUUAUCGUUCUCCACUUAAAUACUACUAGUACUAGGUUUUAAUAUGUGGUUGUGUUCGAUCCCCUAAUGUGUGUUUAAUCUUACAUCACAUGCUGCGGUUUUAUGACUCAACUAAAUCCCUAACAACUAGAAUCUCAAUACGUACUCGUAAUCAUCCAAAAUGCACAUAUGCAUUUAACUAAGAUUCAUGUGUGGACUAUGGUCCAUUUUUAAAAAAAAAAAGAAAUCAUUGGUUGUGGGAAUAAGGCAAUACUGUGUUCUAGUUCUACCG